rnacentral:rRNA from 1 species
CCAGACUCCUACGGGAGGCAGCAGUGAGGAAUAUUGGUCAAUGGGCGGAAGCCUGAACCAGCCAAGUCGCGUGAGGGAAUAAGGCCCUACGGGUCGUAAACCUCUUUUGCCGGGGAGCAAGGGCCGGGACGAGUCCCGGUCCGGAGAGUACCCGGAGAAAAAGCAUCGGCUAACUCCGUGCCAGCAGCCGCGGUAAUACGGAGGAUGCGAGCGUUAUCCGGAUUUAUUGGGUUUAAAGGGUGCGUAGGCGGGCUUUUAAGUCAGCGGUAAAAAUUCGGGGCUCAACCCCGUCCGGCCGUUGAAACUGCCGUUCUUGAGUGAGCGAGAAGUAUGCGGAAUGCGUGGUGUAGCGGUGAAAUGCAUAGAUAUCACGCAGAACUCCGAUUGCGAAGGCAGCAUACCGGCGCUCAACUGACGCUGAAGCACGAAGGCGUGGGUAUCGAACAGGAUUAGAUACCCCAGUA